rnacentral:tRNA from 1 species
AGGAUUUUAGUUUAUAAAAACAUUUGACUUGCAUUCAAAAAAUAUUGAUUAUAUCAAUUUAUCUUA